AUGAUCGUGAUUUUGUUUGGUGUUCAUGGGAUAGCACGAAUCCCCGAACCCAAUCGGGGAAUGAGGAAAGGGCGGACCCCAAUUGCGGCGCCCGAUGCCUCAGCGCCCCCGCGACUGUAUGCGGUAGUGGCCCUUCGAUAUGCCACUGGGCAACUGCCCGGGAAGGCGAAGGGUUGUAGUGACCGUGAGCCAGGAGACCGGCCAAACAGGAGACUUAACC
rnacentral:ncRNA from 2 species